rnacentral:lncRNA from 1 species
AAUACCAAACUUUUGCUUUCUCUUAUUCAUGUGAAGUUCAUAUACAUGACAAUAACAUUUCCUCAACUUCACGCUCUUGAAUUAACAAAUUGAUUAAUUAUUCAUCACCAAUUUCCACACUUCAAAUAAUAAUCUAAAACCGAACUCUGACUUUUCAUAUUAAGGCAUAUAUCAUGUUUUGAGAAAAGACAAUGUACUUAUUAACAAAAGAAAAGAAUUAGAAAAAAAAGAUUGUCAAUACAAUGAACACAAUGUAUUAGAGUGGAAUAACCAAGGCUAUGAAUACAAUGCCUCGUUACGAGCCUCCCUGGAAUAAUAAUAUCAUCAUCACCUAACCAAUGUUCAAAUUAAAACACCAAAGACUAUGAAGGAUUCAGUGCGUCUUAAAGUCACAACAACAAGCAUAAUCCCACAACAGUAUACAUCCCCUUUAUAAAUUUAUAUUAAACUUAGAUUUUAAUAUUAUUGAAAGAACUAAAUCCAAACUUAAAUGUAUAAGUUAAACAUAAACAAUUAGCCAAAAGGAAACAGUGGAGCGUUACCUAAACAACUAUAUGGUCGGAGAUCGUGGGCGGAGAUUUGGGCUGUCGCUCAGAAAUCGCGGUUGUUGGCGACGAUUUAGGGAUAUCGACGGUGAGUGGUUGUUGUUGGAGGAAGGGGGCGUCGCCGACGAUUAAGAAGGUUUGAUGUGAGAGUAGGUGUGAAAAGGAGGAAACGGCGGUUUCACGGUGGGUUUCGCGAUGGUGGUGUAGUGGAUGUCAUUCGUCGGAAAGGAGAAGAGGAGUUGUUGUGACGGCUGGUCCAGGCGGUGGAUUUAUUGGAGAUUUAGAUGGAGCUUCCGGUGAGGGAGGGGUCGCGGAUGGAGGUCGAAGGUAGUUUCCGACGGUGGUGGUUGGAGUUUGGGAUUUCGCGGCGACGAGAUGAAGAGUGAAUGGGUUAUGCGUUGUUGUUAGGUUGGAACGCGGACGGAGGUUUGCCGGCGGUGAGCGGAUCUGUGUUGAUUCCGACGGAAGGAAGGCGGUUGUUUGGCGCUGUGGAGAAGAAUAGGGAACAAUUUCUUUCUCUUUUUAUUUUCCUCCCCUUUCUUCAUGUUCAGAGGGAGAGAUUAUCAUUUUGGAGAGUGAGAGGACUGGUUUUCUUGUGGUCCUCUCUCUUAUUUUCUUUAUCGUUUUCUUUUUUCUAUUUUCUUGAUUUUUUGCUAAGAGAGAGUGAUUAUUGAGGAGUCAGGUCAGUCCCCUAGAGAGAGAAGAGAGGUCGCCUUUUAUUUUGUGGAUUCCCUUUUUUUUUUAUCGUUUUCCUUUCUUUUAGCGGACCGUUGGAGACCCUUAGUGGAGAUAGAUGCGUGCUAGCUGUCACCUUUUUCCAGCGAGCGAGAGAGAGGAUUUGGAAGAAACUUUUUAUUUUAUUUAUUUUCAGAUUUUUUUAAUAAUAAUAUUAAUUAAAUCUCAAAUUUUGAUUGGAUAAAGGGGAUAAGUGUGAAUUGCUAAUUAGGAGCAUUGAUUAAUUUGAAUCGAUGAUUCAGAUUAAAUCAAAGAAGCACAAACAAUUUAAAAUGGCAAAGUUCCCCUUCUAGAUGAUUUAAAUGGAAUUAAAUCAAUGAAUUCAAAUAAAAUUCACAACUUUUCACAUAAUCAUGAUAAAAUUAAAAUAAGAGCAUGGAAAAUUCUAUUUAUUUAAUCUGGAAAUUUUGGCGAAAGAAUAAAAUUAAAACGAAUAAAAAUAAAUAAAAGUCGGGCGAAAAUUAUCUUGAAAAAUUAAAUCGGAUGCACUAAAAUGAUCAGCACGAAAUAUACUUAUUAAAAAAAUACAGUGUUUCUUUAAAUUCUAAAAUAAAUUUUCACCGGUUAAAAGGCUCAAACAGAUUAAAAUGCAACUGAAAAAGUCGUCGAAAAAUAUAACGAGCACACCAGGCUGAACCACGUGAACUGUAGAUUAAUAAUACUGGCGUGUGUAAGUUUGAUUUCGAAACUUUUUACCCGCUGAUUUUGCACGUACUUGAGGAAUGAUUUAACCAAUUUGACUGUAUAUUCGAGAAUUCAUUUCGAUUGAUAUUUUAGGUAUUAUUCAUGAUGAAGUGCAUUUUAUGCUGUACAUAUGAUGCAAACUGAAAUUAAAAUCGAAUUUAUAAAAGUUUUAAAAUGCCCGGACAAAAUUGGGGUACGAAAAGACUCGAAUUUUGUCCUUUGGAAACACAAGGAAGAAAUGCAGAAAGAAAAUGCAGUGAGAAAUACAGUAAGAAAUGUUUUUAGGAGGUAAAAUGAAACAAUCAAGACUCUCUGGGAAUCGUCAUAACAAUAUCUCGGAUGUCACAAUCGAGAUUUUCCAACAAUGGAAUGAUACCUCAACUGUACCUAAGACUUUCUGAGCAUUAGCAGAACAACGUCUUGAUUUGAAUGCAUGAGAUUCUCUGAGUAUCAAUGAAGCAAUAUCCCAUAUGAUAUAAUCAAGAUAUUCCGACAAGGGAAUGAUACCUCAAUCGUAUUUAAGAUUCUCCGAGGACACCUAGAUCAGUAUCUCUAAAAGUUGAAUGAGACUCUUCAUAUCGAUGAAGUAGUAUCUUAAACAGAUAAAUGAGAUUCUCUAUAUCACACUGAAGCAACAUCUUAUAUGAUAGAAUUACGAUAUUCCAACAUGGGGAAUGAUACCUUAAUUGAAUCUAAGACUUUUCAAGGAUACUAGAGAAGUAUCUCAAAAAACAAGUGAGAUUCUUCAUAUUGAUGAAGCAGUAUCUCAAAUAUUCGUCUGUUGGGGGAAAUAUCUUAGAAAAGACUCUUUUUGGAGGAGAUUUACUGGAAAAGCUCUGUAGGGGGAAAGCUCAUAAGAGACUUUUUAUGGUAACCUCUGCUUGGAGAGGAAUGAUAGCAAAGAAAAUGUUUGGAAUAUCAUUAUUAAUCAUAAAGUUGAAAAAUGAUUUGCUGAGAAAUAAUUCCACGAGCACAUGCAGGGUAAUAACUUUAUUUAGAAAUAAGGAAAGUUGGGGAUGCAUAUGAAUGACCCUGGAUCCUGAUAUUUUGGUGUGAUUUUUGUAUGAUAUUCCACUUUAGGUGGAAAUACCAUGCAUGGGAUGAUGCAUGAUAUACAUUCAGGGAUGCAAUUGCUGGGGAUAUUUAGGAUGUGCAUGGGAAUGUAACUGAUUUUUGAUUUUAUAUAAGGUUAUGCAUAAGUAUGCUGAUGAUUGGUGGUAUCAUGUUUGAUGAAUUUUUCAGUUUGGUAGGAAAAUAAUUUAUGAAUGAUUCAUGUGAUGCAUGUGGGAAUACAAAUGGGUAACUGUAUAUUUUUGUAGGGCUUUAUUUUUUCAAUGAGAUUGUUGGAGAAUAUCAUCAUCAAAGGGUUGAUGGAAAGGUAAUUGUCAUCGUCAAAGAGUUGACGGAAAGGUAAAUGGCAUCAUUAGAGGGCUGAUGGUAAUUAAUUUGUUGUAAAAUGUCAUCAUCAGAGGGCUGAUGGAAAAGAAUUUGUCAUCGUCAAAGGGUUGACAAAAAGAAAUAAAGGAUGUCAUCACCAAAGGGUUGGUGGAAUAAAAAUUUGUCAUCGUCAAAGGGUUGACGGAAAGGAACUUUGUCAUCGUCAAAGGGUUGACAAGAAGAAACUUCACUAUGGAGUGGCAUCAUCAAAGGUUUGAUGGAAAUUUUUUAUCAUCAUCAAAGGCUUGACGGAAAGAAAUAAACGAUGGCAUCACCAAAGGGUUGGUGGAAAAGGAAUCAUAUAUGUAGUAUCAUUGUCAAAGGGUUGACGGAGGGAAACUUCACUAUGGAGUGGCAUCACCAAAGGGUUGGUGGAAAAGACUGUCAUCAUCAGAGGGCAGAUGGAAAAGAGUUUGUCAUCGUCAAAGGGUUGACGAAAAUAAACUUCACUAAGGAGUGGCAUCAUCAAAGGGUUAAUGGAAAAGGAGACCUCACUAUGGAGUGGCAUCACCAAAGGGUUGGUGGAAAAGGACGAUCAUCAUCAGGGGGCUGAUGGAGAAGAGACCUCACUAUGGAGUGGCAUCACCAAAGGGUUAGUGGAAAGGAUGAUUAUCAUCAAAGGGAUGAUGGAGAAGAGACCUCACUAUGGAGUGGCAUCACCAAAGAGUUGGUGGAAAGGAUGAUCAUCAUCAGAAGGCUGAUGGAAAAGAGUUUGUCAUUGUCAAAGGGUUGACGGAAAGAAACUUUACUAGGGAGUGGCAUCAUCAAAGGGUUGAUGGAAAAGGAGACCUCACUAGGGAGUGGCAUCACCAAAGGAUUGGUGGAAAAGGAUGAUCAUCAUCAGGGGGCUGAUGGAGAAGAGACCUCACUAUGGAGUGGCAUCACCAAAGGGUUGGUGGAAAGGAUGAUCAUCAUCAGAGGGCUAAUGGAGAAGAGACCUCACUACGGAGUGGAAUCACCAAAGGUUUGGUAGAAAGGAUGAUCAUCAUCAGAGGGCUGAUGGAAAAGAAAUUGUCAUCGUCAAAGGGUUGACGGGAAGAAUCUUCACUGUGGAGUGGCAUCAUCAAAGGGUUGAUGGAAAGAAUUUAUCAUCAUCAAAGGGUUGACGAAAAGAAACUUCACUAGGGAGUGGCAUCAUCAAAGGGUUGAUGGAAAAGGAUGAUCAUCAUCAGAGGGCUGAUGGAAAAGAGACCUGACUAUGGAGUGGCAUCAUCAAAGGGUUGAUGGAAAAAAUUAAAAGACGUCAUCACCAAAGGGUUGGUGGAAAAGAAAUGGUCAUCAUCAAAGGAUUGACAGAAAUAAUUAAGGGAUAUCAUCACCAAAGGGUUGGUGGAAAAGAAAAUUUGUCAUCGUCAAAGGGUAGACGGAAAGGAACUUCACUAUGGAGUGGCAUCACCAAAAGGUUGGUGGAAGGAAAUUCGUUGUAAAAGGUCUUCAUCAGAGGGCUGAUGGAAAAAAGAGAUCAGGUUAUGUCCUCAUCAAGGGGUUAAUGGGAAGGAAUUAUUAUGUUAUGUAUGCAUAUGAUGCAUGUUAAUGGAAAUUUCUUGUUUUUGUGAGAGAGCUUUUGCUAUGCAACUUCCUGAUUUGGCAGGAGAGUCAUGUGUGUUCAUUGUAUGCAGUGCAUGUGGUAAUGCAAGAGGAUUAUCGGUUGUUUUUGGCUUAAUCUCCCUUUUGGGAGGUGAGACUUUCUUGAUACCAAUGUUGAUUGGAUUUGGAUUCAUGAAGAUGCCAACAAAGUGGAUUUUUAUUGGUUGCCAAUAUGGAUUGGACUUUGGUUUCGGAUAUGCCAAUAGGGAUUGGACUUUGACAUUAUGAGGAUGCCAACAAAGUGGACAUUUAUUUUUAGUAGUUGCCAAUAUGGAUUGGACUUUUGGUUGGUAAAAGGUUUUGACUUCCCGACACUCUGUAUUUUGAAGAUGCGAUGAUCAAAGGAUAGAUGUGGAUGCUUUUGGUGCCCCAAAUUUGAUCUGUUGUUGAUAUAUUGUGUGUUUAGUCUUGAGAGGACCUCAACUUCUUUGCUUGAUAUGCUUUGAUGGCUUGUAAAUGAGCAUAAUGACGUAAUCAAUGCAUAAUGAUUGUGCUCUUGCUCUUCCCUAAGGCUCUUUACAACUUGUAUGCCCCAACCUUUAGGGUCUUUUAAAGGAAUUCAUCUUUGAAAGGAAACCCUGGGAAUGCACAUACCAUGGCUUGAACCAACUUUGGCCCAGUACAUGGAUCAUGCAGUGGUUUUCCCCUGAUUAAGAUUUUGAAAGGCUUGCCCCAGAUGGACUGGAUAUUUUGAAAUUGUUUGCCUCCUUGAUCAACUGAUGCUUGGAGUUUGUCUUUUGACUGACCAAUUCAUAGUCAUUAGAUGCCAUGCCCUUGAUCCAUAGGGUUAAGAGGUGGUCUUGAUUCGGAUCAGCACCAACGGAUGUUCAAGUUCCUCUGAUUGUUCCUUAUUGUUGGAAUUUCCUUGAUAUAAAGUACUAACUUGCAGUUAAAAUUGUUUAUUUAAUCAAUGGUAAUUUUAAUGCGAUAUUCAUGCAGGUUUGAAAAAUCAUUUAUUGAGGUGAUGUGAUUAUGUGUGACGAAUGAACCAUUAGUCCAAACGCAGUGCUGAUUUAUCUAGUGUGUGAAAGAUAUAGCAAGAAUAUGAUCCCAUAUACAGGUGAUUAGCAAAUAUUUAGGAGCCAGUUUACACAUCUUUGCUGUAGUAUGCUUUCAGAAUAAACCUUUCUUCAAUUAGGUCUUUUAAGGGUUGUAACGUGGCUUGGUUCACGGUUACUGACACAAAGGAUGUAGGACUCAAAUUUUGUUUUAACCCACCCUAUCUUCAUGAUGAUCUCCAAUCCUACAUUAAGUUAAACACACACAUUCAACUUUUAAGAGAGUUUGGCAGUGUAAGAUCUCUUGAAAUGGCAGUCAUCUUAUUUUGCUCUUCAUGGAUGUUGGUGACACUUUGAUUUUGGUAUGGUGGUCACUGAAUCUUGUUUUGCUUUGUUGAGGGUUUUCAUUGCCUCUUUUGAUUUUUGUUUUGAUCCCUAACGUUUUCCUGUACCGCUUUUGAAGCUUUGGUCCAUCGGGAUUUCCCCAUGUUUUUGCCUAAGUCUCUUUUUGGGGAUCGACUUAGCAGGCUUUUUUUCUUUUGUUUGAAAAAUUGUGACUUCCAAGUCAUUGGUCAUUGAAGAACAAUCGACAUAAAUUUUGGAUUUUGUAUGGUUAUUUACCACUUCAGGAUGUGUUCGCAGAUUAUCAUGUGGUUGAUCCUCUGACGGGGUGUUUCAUCUUAUAAUUUGAAUGCGUAGUCAGAUUAACUGAACACUACCCUGCCCCAGGUUAAGCGUAAGGGUUUGUAAAUCCGAAAUAAAGUCCUACUUCUAGGCUCGAAGUGGUUGACUAGGGAUUAACUCCUUAUCUCUCCAGUGUUUGGGGAUUUAAAACAAUGCCUGUACAUCAUCAGCAAGAUUUUAUCCGAAAGCAUACAGUCAGCCAUUAUGGGUAUUUCAUUUUCGUCAUCCUCCCUUCAAUCUUUUCUAAAAUAACUAUUUGAUAAACGAAUGGGAGUAAUAUUUUUGUUUUUUGAUAUAAAUGGAAAAUAUGAGUGAAUACGAAAGGAUUCAUUAAAAACACACAUAAUCAUUUCAUUAAUAUUACCAUUAAAAGAAGUCAACAAUACUUGAAAGCAGAUAAGUACCUGACAUGCAAAGAAAAAUACAAAUGAAAUGCUAGAAAUAGCCAAAUGAUAGUCAAUGCAGAGGAAGCUCUCUCGUGUCUAGUUCACUACUGGGCUAGCCUCCUUCAGAGUAGUGGUAGUUUUGCUCGUCGAGACUAGUAUGAUAAUCAUCUUCAGACCUAUUCUCGGAAUUUUCUUCCAUAACAUGGACUGAUGGACCCACAUAUCUAGGUGAAGAAGUAUUAUUGAUUUUCAAGCUUCGAGGUGUAAAUGAGAACAUCUUGGAAUCAAGCAGGGUUUGUACUUUUCUCUUGAGAACCUUACAGUCUUUAGUUGAAUGCCCAUGUGCCCCAUCAUGGAAGUCACAUUGGGAGUUGGCGUCAAAACCUGGUGGAUACAGAGGAAUGACUGGAUUUAGCUUCUUUGGCACUAUCAGUCCUCUCUCAAUCAAAUACGGAAGUACUUGACUGUAUGUCAUUGGAAGUGGAUCGAUGUGUCUCUCUAGCUUUCUUGGCCUUCAUUGAGCCUGUUGACAUUGUCGAUGUGGAACAUCCUGUCAUUUGUAUGGUCGUUGAGGUGGAACUGUUGUUGAUGUUGAGGAGAUCUUUGAUGUGGAGAGGAUGAUCUCUGAUAUGGAGCUUAUGGGAUUUCCCAAACUGCAUUAAUUUCAACCUCUUCUUCCUUUAGUGAACUGAUAAUAUAUUCAAUCUCAAUGUUCUGGCUAUUUGAGGCGUGUUGGAUUCUUCCACUUUCAAAGCCAUACUCGACGCGUUCUCCAAUUGACACCAAGUGAGCGAAGUCUGAUGCUACACUGCUAAUCAUCCUUUCGAAGUAAGGGCUUUGCAAAGUAUCCCUGAAUAAUCCCAUCAAUUCUUUUUCUAAGAGUGGUGGUUCAAUGCAAUCCGCUAACUCUCUCCAUCUUUGGGCAUACCCUCUGAAGGAUUCAUCGCUUUCCUUAGAUAAGGCUCUUAACUGCAUGUGAUCAGGAGCUAUGUCCAAAUUAUAUUUGUAUUACUUCAAGAAGUCGUUAGCUAGGUCCAACCAUGGUUGAACAUGAUUCCUUUCUAACUUCAUAUACCAACUCAUUGAUGCCCCAGUUAAACUGUCUUGAAAACAAUGAAUCAUUAGCUUAUCAUUAUGGGCAUGAGAGGUCAUUUUUCGACAAAACAUCACCAAAUGGUGCUUUGGAUAGCCACCCCCUUUGUACUUCUCAAAUUUUGGUACUUUGAAUUUUGGGAUUAUAACCAGGCUAGGUACCAAACACAUGUUUGAAGCAUUCAGUUCAGGAUUAUCUUGUCCUUCUAUGGCCUUGAGUCUUUUCUCAAGCACACAACAUCUUUCAACGAUCUCAUCAUCUUGUGGUCAUUCAGUAUUAACCACUAGGCGUGUUCCAUGGGAAUUUGGCACGGAGAAUGCAAAGUUAUGAUAUUCAACACCAUCAUGAUAUGAGGAAUCUCGAACAUUAUGACGUUCUUGUACAACAGGGUUAUCAACUAGGGUUUGCACGGGCCGAGGCUGGGUGAGAUCAUUUAUUGGAGCUGGAAUAACAUUCUCAAUGACUGUAGUCUACUGAAUGUUGUCUUCCCUCUUUGAUAAAGCUAUCAUAGCCUCAACAAGUUAGUCUAUCUGGUUUUUCAUCGAGUCAACAUCUCCUCUUAAUGCAAUAUGACUUUGCUCCAAUGGAUCCAUGGUCUUUCAAGAGCUACUUCAAGUAUGAUAUGAGUGUCGGGAAUUCAACUGCAGGUUAUGAAGGAUGGAUGAGUCUUUUGUAUAUUUUGUGAAAAAUGAUAUGUAACGCAUGAUAAAUGCAGAUGCCGUGAUAUGUGUAUGAAUGAAGUGACAUGUUCAGGAUCACAGGUUCAAGGUAUUCUCAGGUUAAUUAGAAUAACGGGUAAAUGAUAGGUAUCUCUGAUUAAUGGAACCCCAUGGGAUAGGCUCUACAGUUGGUAGGUUCUUAGAGUCACGAAUAUUUCUUGAGAACAUCAUUGUCGUGACGAAGACUCAUCGGAUAAUAAUAUCCUUAAGAUGAUCUCGUCUAGGCGAGGUCUUCGUAUUGUCCCAACAAGGAAGGCUCCAUGGGGAUUCUACUACACAACUCUCGAGUCCAUGGUUCUAACAAGGUUCUUAGAGUCAUAGAUCGAGGUUGGAAAUAUUACUGUAAGAUAGUAAUACGUCCAAGGGAUCUCAUCUGAUUGGGGCUUUCAUAUUAACCCAACAAGUCUGAAACUUCGUAGGUUAAUACUACAUAAACGCCGGAUAGAGUGGGUUAAAAGGUCCCUAGAGUCAUUGAUCCAACUUGAAAAUACUAUCGUCGUGAAGAAGACUCGUUGGACAAUAAUAUCUCAAGAGAAUCUACUCUAGGUGGGGUCUUUGUAUCGUCCCAACAAGGAAGACUCCUUGUGGGCCUCCACCACACAACCACCAACUUAAUCUUAUGGUACUUCUCAGACUCGGGUGUAGAGCCUGUCUCACAAGGUACCAAUAACCAGAGAGCCCCAAAUAAGACAUAGUUAAUAAACCACAAAUCAAUAAUUACAACAGAAUAAUAAUAACAGAAUAAAGGUAACAAAAAAACAAGGUUAACACUCAACACAGAAACUGAACUAAGUUAGGCUUGACUCUCUCUUGCUUAGAGCUAAAUGUCCCCUGCAGAGUCUCCAUCUGUCGCAUCUCGAAAAAUACGAUUCCUCGCGAUGGUCGCGGAAAAAUUAUGUUCGAACAGAGUCGCCACCUACCUUUAUUUAUCCCAAUGAAGGAAUAGGAAAAUAUCGAUAAAACCUUUAGAAAGUAGAAUAAUGGUCAUCGCAACCAUAUUCGAGUUCCGGAGUCGAUUACGCAAGGGGAAGGUAUUAGCACCCCUCACGUCUGUUGUACUCAACGGGAACCUUUUAGUUUAAUUUGAGAUUUGAAUGUUAGCUUAUGUUGUUUGUUUUCUUCGAGUGAAUAAAAGAUUAAAAUAGAGAUGGAUGGAAACCUCAUAAAGGGGAAAGGGAGGUUUUUUAUUAGUGUGCUCGCCAAGAUCUCGCAAUCUCGUGCCUACGUAUCCUUAUGGUGCAAUAAGGAAAUCAGAGCAUUCGUAGUUCGGGGAACUACGGUUUGUUGGCGUCUUUUAGCGAACAACUGUUUAGAUCGCGUUCUAAAGGUUAAAUGUUGGCUUGCCUACUCUCGACGUAGGCUUAAGCACUAGUUUGUUGUGUGCAUUAGAAAGGAUUAAACAGUGUUCUUUCUGAAAAGAGUUUUGGUCACACGGGGGUGACAAGUUGAGUUAAUAUGUUGGGUGUUUUGUUGGAUUGGUUUUGAUCGCACGGGGGAGAGAAAGAGAUUUAAUGUGUUGUGAUAUCUUGUUGGAUGAUGAUUACUCGGAUGAUCGAGUAAGACAACUGUGAUAUCUUGUUUGAUAAUAAUUAAGGUGUUUUAAAAGGAUGAAGAAUACUCGGAUAGUCGAGUAAGACAACUCUUAUCCUAAUAGUCAGGAAAGGGAAUAAAAGACUCUAGACCACCUUCUUUUUCAUCUGAGUGAUUGUGAGAAUAGGAUUAUGUAUGGUUGAUGUAUUUUUCGAAUGAAUGACAAGUACUUGAAUGGCUGAGUAAGACAACUCUUAUCCAAGCAUUUGAGGAGAGGAAUCGAAGGCUCUAGACCAUCUCCCUUUUCGCAUAGUUUAUUGUGAAAAUGAUUUAAUUAAGUUAUAUGUUUGUGGAAAAAUGACAAUUGUUUGACUAACCGAGUAAGAGAACUCGUAUUCAAUCAAUAUAGAAGAGAAGUUGAAGGCUAAAAAUCAUCUCCCUUUUCAUUUCAUUAUUAUGAAAAUAAUUUGAUUUAAUCUUGGUUUAAGGUUUGUAAAGAAACGACGAUUGUCUAACUGAGCGAGUAAGAAAACUCGUAUUCAAACAAUCGAGGAGAGGAGUUAAAGGCUUAAAAUCAUCCCCCUUUUCAUUUAGUUUAUUAUACGAAUGUUUUGAUUUAAUUAUGCUUAAGCGGAUUAGAAAUGACAAUUAUUUGACUAACCGAGUAAGAGAACUCGUUAAUCGAGGAGAGGAGUUGAAAACUCAAAACCAUCCCCCUUUUCACUUCGUAAUUAUGAAAUGGUAUUUAAUUGUGAUUAGGUGUUUUGAUAAUUAAUUUUGAACAACAUACACGACAUUGGAUCGAGGGUUGAAUUGGUGUUUGUGAAUAAAUUAUAUUUUAAUGAAUCAAUCAUCUAAUCGAUUAAUUAAUAACCGAAUAGGUCUCACUGUAAGAAAGCUCAAGAGUAAGCUAUGUGAGGUUGAUGGCGAUGCUUAGAAGCAAUCGACUUACAAGGUAUUUGAAAAUAGGCUCGACAUGGAAUCGAGAAGUAUGUGAUCUUUUAAAUGGUUUGAAUGGUUUAUAUUAUGAAGUGAUAGCAAAAAUGAUCGUGAAACAAAUCGGUCAACUUUUAAAAAAUAAAAUUAAUUAAUUAAAAUUCAAUUAAUCCAUCUAAUUAAGAUAAUUAAAAUUAAUUAUCAAAAUUAUUCGAUUAAAAAUUAAUGUAAUCAAAUAAUUAAGUUAAUUAAAAUUAGUUAACGAAAUUAUCUAAUUAAUCAAGACUUUAAUUAAUUAAUCAAUUUAGAAAAAGAAAUAAGUGACAAUAUUGAAUAUUAAAUAAUUGAAUCGAAUCAGCCACCAUAUGCUCACAAACCGGUUUGUACAAUGCGACAAUGGAAUUGAAAUGUCGUAUGUGAAGAUCAAAACGUGGCGAAAUGCUCGAUUGAUUUGUUAAAAUUUAAUGAUAUACCAGCAUGAAAUUGCCGGAUCCGCAAAUUAAAAUUCCAUUUUAAGCGCAAUGAAGACCCAAUAGAAACCCAAUCAAUAUAUGACAUGUGACACUAAUAUUAACAAUGAUCAUAAAAGAAUACCUAACGUUUGCUUUCUUUUAUUCACAUGAAAUUGGUAUACAUGCCAAUAACAUUUCACCAACUUCACGCUCUUGAAUUAACGAAUUGAUUAAUUAUUCAUCACCAAUUUCCACACUUUAAAUAAUAAUCUAAAACCGAACUCUGACUUUUCAUAUUAAGGCAUAUAUCAUGUUUUUAGAAAAUAGAAUGUACUUAUUAACAAAAGAAAAGAAUUAGAAAAAAAAAUUGUCAAUAUAAUGAACACAGUGUAUUAGAGUGGAAUAACCAAGGCUAUGAAUACAAUGCCUCGUUACGAGCCUCCCUGGAAUAAUAAUAUCAUCAUCACCUAACCAAUGUUCAAAUUAAAACACCAAAGACUAUGAAGGAUUCAGCGCAUCUUAAAGUCAUAACAACAAGCAUAAUCCCACAACAGUAUACAUCCCCUUUGUAAAUUUAUAUUAAACCCAGAUUUUAAUAAUAUUGAAAGAACCAAAUACAAACUUAAAUGUAUAAGUUUUACAUAAACAGUUAUCCAAAUGGAAAUAAUUGAGCGUUACCGAAACAACGGUAUGGUCAGAGAUCGUUGGCGGCGAUUUGGGAUGUCGCUCGGUAAUCGCGCAUGUUGGCGACGAUUUGGGGAUAUCGACGGUGAGUGGUUGUUGUUGGAGGAAAGGGGCGUCGCCGACGAUUGAGAAGGUUUGAUGUGAGAGUAGGUGUGAAAAGGAGGAAACGGCGGUUUCGCGGUGGUGGUGUAGUGGAAGUUGUUCGUCGGAAAGGCGAAGAGGAGUUGUUGUGACGGACGGUUCCAGGCGGUGGAUUUAUUGGAGAUUCGGAUGGAGUUUCCGGUGAGGGAGGUCGCGGAUGGAGGUCGAAGGUAGUUUCCGGAGGUGGCGGUUGGAGUUUGGGGUUUCGCGGCGACGAGAUGAAGAGUGAAGGGGUUGUGCGUUGUUGUUGGGUUGGAACGCGGAUGGAGGCUUGCCAGCGGUGAGCGGAUCUAUGUUGAUUCUGGCGGAAGGAAGGCGGUUGUUUGGCGCUGUGGAGAAAAAUAUGGAAAAAUUUCUUUCUCUUUUUAUUUUCUUCCCCUUUCUUCACGUUCAGAGUGAAAGAGCGUCAUUUUGGAGAGUGAGAGGAGCGGUUUUCCUGUGGUCCUCUCUCUUGUUUUCUUUAUCGUUUUCUUUUUUCUAUUUUCUUAAUUUUUUGCUGAGAGAGAGUGAUGAUUGAGGAGUCAAGUCAGUCCCCUAGAGAGAGAAGAGAGGUCGCCUUUUAUUUUGUGGGUUCCUUUUUUUUUAUCGUUUUCCUUUCUUUUAGUGUACCGUUGGAGACCCUUAGUGGAGAUGGAUGCGUGUUAGUUGUCGUGUUAGUUGUCAUCUUUUGCCAGCGAGCAAGAGAGAGGAUUUGGAGAGAAACUUUUUAUUUUCAUAUUUUUCUAAUAAUAGUAUUAAUUAAAUCCCAAAUUUUGAUUGGAUAAAUGGGAUAAGUGUGGAUUGCUAACGAGGAGCAUUGAUUAAUUUGAAUCGUUGAUUCAGAUUAAAUCAAAGAAGCACAAACAAUUUAAAAUGGCAAACUUCCCCUUCUAGAUGAUUUAAAUGGAAUUAAAUCAUUUAAUUCAAAUAAAAUUCACAACUUUUCACAUAAUCAUGAUAAAAUUAAAAUAAGAGCAUGGAAAAUUCUAUUUAUUUAAUCUGGAAAUUUUGGCGAAAGAAUAAAAUUAAAACGACUAAAAAUGAAUAAAAGUCGGGCAAAAAUUUGCUCGAAAAAUUAAAUCGGAUGCAUGAAAAUGAUCAACACGAGAUAUACUUAUUAAAAAAAUACAAUGUUUCUUUAAAUUCUGAAAUAAAUUUUCAUCGGUUAAAAGGCUCAAAUGGAUUAAAAUGCAGCUGAAAAAGUCCUUGAAAAAUAUAACGAGCACACCAGGCUGAACCACGCGAACUGUAGAUUAAUAAUAAUGGCGUCUGUAAGUUUGAUUUCGAAACUUUUUACCCGCUGAUUUUGCACGUACUUGACGAAUGAUUUAACCAAUUUGACUGUAUAUUCAAUAAUUCAUUUCGAUUGAUAUUUUAGGUAUUAUUCAUGAUGAAAUGCAUUUUAUGAUGUACAUAUGAUGCAAACUGAAAUUAAAAUCGAAUUUAUAAAAGUUUUAAAAUGGCGGAACAAAAUUGGGGUAUGACAGGGUCUUUUCAACAUGUUUUGUCCUUACUCACACGCUUUCCAGGAAACUUCCCAGAAGGUCACCUAUCCAAAUACUACUCCAAGUCAAACACGCUUAACUAUGGAGUUCUUAUUUGUUAGGCUACCAAAAAGAAGAUGCAUCUUAUUGGUAUAGGUAGUACCAAUUAAUCCUUAUAAGGCUUCCUUCAACGAUGCAGUCCCAUACUUGCACAGCCUCAAGAUCCCUCUCAUUCCGAUGUGGAUUCAAUUUUUCCCUAGAAGCUGCUAGGAGUGUCCUUACUCACACGCUUUCCGAGAUCCCACCAGCUUCGACUUGGUUUUUCCCCGAACCAUAUUGUACUGGGAGAGGUACGACUCUGAUACCAUUUGUAACACCCCAGACUACUUUCAGAAUUAUCGAAUGACCCCACAAACCAACACGGGUCUUUUCAGCAUGUUUUAUCCUCACUUACACACUUUCCAGGAAACUUCCUAGACGGUCACUCAUCCAAAUACUACUCCAAGUCAAGCACACUUAACUAUGGAGUUCUUAUCUGUUAGGCUACUGGAAAAAAAGACGCAUCUUAUUGGUAUAUGUAGUACCAAUUAAUCCUUAUAAGCCUUCCUUCAACGAUGCAGUCCCAUACCUGCACAGCCUCAGGAUCCCUCUCAUUCCGAUGUGAAUUCGGUUUUUCCCUAGAAGUUGCUAGGAGUGUCUCAUUGUCAUGCCUCAUGCACCUACAACCACUCCAUCACCCUCGAGUGUAACAUGUAACCACUAUAUGUCCUCUCUGGACUUGGGUGUUACAUGCCCACCAGCUUCCGCUUGGUUCCUUCCCGAACCACAUCGUAUUGGAAAAGGCACGGCUCUGAUACCAUUUGUAACACCCCAAACUACUUUCAAAAUUAUCGACUGACCCCAUAAACCAACACAGAUCUUUUCAGCAUGUUUUAUCCUCACUCAUACGCUUUCUGGGAAACUUCCCAGAAGGUCACCCAUCCAAAUACUACUCCAAGUCAAGCACGCUUAAAUAUGGAGUUCUUAUCUGUUUGGUUACCGAAAAGAAGAUGCAUCUUGUUGGUAUAUGUAGUUCCAAUUAAUCCCUAUAAGUGUUCCUUCAAUGACGUAGUCCCAUACAUGCACAACCUCAAGAUCCCUCUCAUCUUGAUGUGGAUUCGAUUUUUCCCUAGAAGCUGCUAGGAGUGUCUCGUUGUCAUACCUCAUGCACCGACAACCACUCCCUCUCCUUCAGGUAUUAGAUGUAUCCACUCUCCGCCCUCUUAGGCCUCGGGUGUUACAUGUAAAAUAUGAAAGGUGAUAUUUGAACUCACUACCUCUCAUACUCAUAACUCCUUAGCCAUACUCUCCAUCCAUUAGACCAUUGCACCCAUCCUAAGAAAUGUGAGAUUCAAACUCACAACCUCUCAUGCUCAUAAUUUCUUACCCAUACACUACCAUCCAUUAGGCCAUUGCUGCUCUGAUACCAUUUGUAACGCCUCAUACUGCUCUCAGGAUUACCGACUGACCCCACAAACCAACACGGGUAUUUUUAACACGCUUUGUCCUUACUCACACACUUUACGGAAAACUUCCCAGAAGGUCACCCAUCUAAAUACUACUCCAAGUCAAGCACGUUUAACUAUGAAGUUCUUAUCUGUUAGGCUACUGAAAAGAAGAUGCAUCUUGUUUUCGGUAGCCUAACAGAUAAGAACUCCAUAGUUAAGCGUUCUUGACUUGGAGUAGUAUUUGGAUGGGUGACCUUCUGGGAAGUUUCCCAAAAAGCGUGUGAGUGAGGACAAAACAUACUGAAAAGACCCGUGUUGGUUUGUGGGGUCAGUCAAUAAUUAUGAAAGUAAUUUGGAUUAGGCUAGAAGACAUCUUUCCACAUCUUAGGGUGCGGGCUGGUAAUGAUGUAUGAUGUUGUUGACUUCCUCCUCUGGGACGCAACGACGAAAGAUACCAUCAACACCUCUUUUGAAAAGGAGAGGCUCAUCCCAGUAGUAGUGUUUCAGUUCAUGGAAGAAUUUAUUCUUCUGCUGGUAAGUUAGCCUUGAAGGAAGUUCUCCGGCUACUAGGUAGUUGACAAAGUCAGUGUACCACGAUACAGUAGUUUUAGUAAUUAUGGCCUCCACAACCUCUUCAAUUUCUGCAUCUUUAAAAGUUAAAGAGUACUCAGUUGUGUUACUUUCAAUUUGAGCUACAAGUCGAUCAUAUGGAAAAUCAUCGUUGAUUGGUUAUUGCUCGAUUUUCAUAUUCUCGAGUAUAGACAGGUGGUCGGCAACAACGUUUUCAGUUCCCUUCUUGUAUUUGAUCUCCAAGUUGAAUUCUUGCAAGAGAAGAAUCCAUCUUAAGAGCCUUGGUUUGGCAUAUUUUUUAUUCAAUAGAUACCUGAUUGCGGCGUGAUCAGUGUAGAUAAUUAUUUUAGCUCCUACCAAGUAGGAACGAAAUUUAUCUAACGCGAAAACAACAACUAGGAGCUCAUUUUCAGUCGUGGCGUAGUUCAUUUGUGCUUGGUCCAAGGUUCUACUUGCAUCAAAGAUCGCAUGAAGCUUUUUAUCAGUUCUAUGUCCCAAGGCCGCGCCUACAACAUAAUCACUCACGUCACACAUCAUCUCAAAAGGUCUGCUCCAAUCAGGUAGUUGCAUGAUGGGCACAAUUAUUAGGGCGUUUUUCAAUAAUUCGAACGCCUCCAGACAUUUUUCCGUCAAAGACGAAUUUCAUGUCUUUCAUUAAUAAGUUGGUUAAUGGUUUUGUUAUUUUACAAAAAUCUUUAAUAAACCGGCGGUAAAAACCGGCGUGUCCUAAAAAGCUUCAUAUUUCUCUAACAUAUUUCGAGGGUUGGAGGUUUUCUAUAACCUCUAUUUUUGCUUUGUCGACUUCAAUCCCCUUAUUGGACACUAUAUGUCCAAGUAUUAUCCCUUGUUUAACCAUGAAAUGAAAUUUUUCCCAAUUUAUCACGAGAUUAACCUUCACACAUCUAUCAAGUGCCAUUUCUAGGUUUUUUAGACAACCUUCGAAACUCUACCCACAAACGAAAAAAUCAUCCAUAAACACCUCGAUGAUGUUGUCUAUAUAGUCUGCGAAAAUUGACAUCAUGCACCUUUAAAAUGUUGCGGGAGCAUUACAAAGUCCAAAUGACAUUCGUCUGUAGGCAAAUGUACCAAAGGACAUGUGAAAGUUGUCUUUUCUUGGUCAUUAGGAUGGAUGGGAAUUUGAAAGAAUCCUGAGUAACCAUCCAGAUAUCAAAAAUGAGAGUGCUUAGCUAAUCGUUCCAGCAUUUGAUCGAUAAAAGUUAAGGGGAAGUGAUCCUUGUGAGUGACUUUAUUUAAUUUUAGGUAAUCAAUGCACAUCCUCCAUCCAGUUACUACAUGUUUAGCUAAAAUCUCUCCCUUUUUGUUAUCGACAACCGUAACACCACCUUUCUUGGGUACUACAUGUACUGGGCUGACCCAUUUACUGUCAGAUAUGGGAUAUAUAAUAUCUGCCUCUAAUAACUUCAACACUUCUUUUCUUACAACAUUGCUCAUAAUCGGGUUUAGAUGCCUCUGGUGUUCCCUAGAGGUUUUCGAGUCUUCUUCUAGCAUAAUGCGAUGCAUGUAUAGAGAGGGACUAAUUCAUUUUAAGUCUGAGAUGUUGUUGCCUAAGGAAUUAGGGUAUUUCCUUAGGACAUGUAAUAGUUUUUCAGUUUCUAUUUAUCCUAAAUCGGUGUUGACUAUUACUGGUUUCUCAAGCUCAGUGUCCAGGAAUUCGUAUCUCAUAUUUUUCGGUAGUGUUAUAAGUUCUAUAGAUGGUUUCUUCGAGCAUGGCAUAGGAUUUGGAGUUAUUGCUAGACAUUCCCUUAAACUAUCAUCUACGGAUGGUUCUUUGUAUUGGUCAUCCUCAAGAAUGGGUGGUGUUGUGAUUUUUAGGAUUUCAGUAUCCUCGGAUGGUUCCAUUUUUAUUUCUUUCAUACACUCAUCAAUGAUGUCCAUAAAAUAACAUGUGUCGUCUAUGGCUGGUGCUUUUAGAAAUUGCGAUAAAAUGAAUUCAAUCUUCUCCUCUCCCACUUCGAAAAUCAUUUUUCCUCGUUUCACAUCUAUAAUGGCACCGGCAGUUGCUAGGAAGGGUCUACCUAGGAUAAUUGAGAUGUUAGAAUCUUCUAUGAUGUCCAUUAUUAUGAAAUCGGUAAGGAUGAAGAAUUGGCCGACUUGGACGGGAAUGUUCUCUAGCAUUCCUAUAGGAUACUUAACAGAACAAACUGCUAAUUGUAGAGACAUACUCGUUGGUCUUAACUCUCCCAAUUUGAGUCUUUCGCAGAUGGAAAGGGGCAUCAAACUCGCACUAGCUCCUAAAUUGCAGAGGGCUUUAUCUAUUACAAACUUCCCUAUCACACAAGGUAUGGAAAACUGCCAGGAUCUUUUAGUUUAGGUGGCAUGUUAUUCUAAAUGAUAGCACUACACUCUGUGUUAAGCGUCACUGUCUCAUCAUCCUCAAGUUUCUUCUUGUUAGAUAAGAUUUCUUUUAGGAACUUGGCAUAUGAGGGUAUUUGUGUAAUAGCUUCAUGAAAGGGAUGGUAAUAUUAAGUUGUUUCAAGAGUUCGACGAACUUCCUGAAUUGUCCUUCAGUUUUGGAAUUAUCUAGUAUUUAAGGGUAAGGAAUUGGUGGUUUAUAUGGUGGUGGAGGCACGUAUGGUUUCUCCUUCUCAACUGCCUCUUUGGUUUCAUCUUUUGCCUCUGGUUUAUCAGGUUGGCCAUUUUUCUGAGUCAUCGGCGGAAUUUAUGUUUUGGGAUCAACUGGUCCGUCUAACUUCGUCCCGCUCCAUAAUGUGAUAGCAUUAGCUUGACCUUUCGGUUCGGUUGAGGUUGACCAGGGAAAGUUCUAGCUGAAACUGCGGUAGUUUCUUGAUGCUGGGCUACUUGAGAAAUUUGAGUUUCCAACAUUUUCUUAUGAGUAGCCAAAGCAUCUACUUUAGUUGCUAAUUGUUUCACUAAUUCUGAGGUAUGAACGUUCUGGUUCAUAAACUCCUUAUUUUGUUGCGUUUGAGAAGCAACAAAUUUUUCCAUCAUUAACUCAAGAUUAGAUUUUCUAGGCGUUUGAGGAGCGGCUUGAGGUGCGCUCUGAGUUGGCUUAUGGUAACCAGAAGGUGGUUGGUUUAGAGCAUAUAAGGCAUUGUUAUUCUUAUAAGAGAAGUUAGGAUGGUUUUUCCAACCUGGGUUGUAAGUAUUGGAGUACGGGUUUCCUUGAGCAUAGUUUAAUUGGUCAGGUGUAAUGCCUGCUAGUAAUUGGCAUUCGGAAAUGUCGUGUCCAGGUACUCCACAUAUAUUGUAGCUUAGGGCUAUGGCAUCCACGGUGGCCACGGGAUUUAUGGUUAAACUUUCAAUCUUUUGAGUCAGGGCAUCUACCUUAGCAUUGACGUGAUCUAUGCCAUUGACUUCGUACAUACCUCCUUUUGGUUGAGGUUUCUCUAUAGAAGUGCGCUCUCCACCCUAUUGGUAGUGAUUUUGUUCCAUAUUUUGAAUGAGUUGAUCAGCCUCUUCAUAUGGUUUGUCCCUUAUAGUGACGCCAACUACAACGUCUAAGAUUAAUUUGGUGUUAUAUGAGAGACCACCAUAGAAGGUUUAGAUGAUAAGCCAUGGUUCAAGCCCAUGGUGCGGGCAAAUCCUCAGCAUGUCCUUAUAUCUCUCCCACGCUUCAAAAAGUGAUUUGUUGUCCUUUUGCCUAAAUCCUUUGAUUUGGCUUCUUAGCAUAGCCAUUUUACUAGGUGGGAAAUAUCUGGCUAAGAAACCUUCUUUAAUUCUUCCCAUGUAGUUAUGGAAUUGGAAGGUAAAGACUGAAGCCACACUCUAGCUCUGUCUCUUAAAGAAAAGGGGAAAAGACGUAAUCGUAUUGCUUCAGGAUUAACACCUUAGCUUUUACCGUAUCUGCAUAUUGUAUGAAUACUGACAGAUGGAGAUUCGAAUCGUCUGUAGGAUUGUUAGAGAAUUAGUUUUGUUGUACAGCUUGUAACAGUGAAGGUUUCAACUCGAAAUCGUUUCGGUCGAUGGCAGGGGAAGCAAUGUUGUUGUGUGGUUCAUCCUGAAAUGGGGCAGCAUAGUCCCUUAAAGGAUGGUUAGCAGGGGCGGCCAUAUCUGGUUCGAGUAUAUCAGGAUCAAGAAGGUUGUAUUUUAAACGGAAUUGUUUAAGUCAGUGUCUUAGACUAAUAUAACGCUCGAUUUCGUCUAUCGGUUGUUCUAACUCGUCUUCUUGUGAGCGAGUGUUUAACAUGCAACCAAAACAAAUAAAAAGGAAAAUAGUUUCCUUAGUCUAUAUCGUGCAACAGUGGAGUUACGAUAUUGACUUAAUUAGUCCCCGGAAACGGCGCCAAAAACUUGAUCGUGACUUAGUAUGUCUAUCGAAAUGGCUAACUGCAAGUGCACAGUCAUAUUGUGUAGUUUUAAAAAGAUGUUGAACCCAAAGGACCAAAAUUCAAACUAUCGUUAUCUAAAGUUACUAUGUAAAGCUAAAGCUAAUGAUUGUUUUCUUUUUUUUAGAUUGAUUAAGAGAAACGGAGAAAUAAAAUUUAACUAGAAAUAAUAAUAUAAUUAAAGUAUUCAAUAAAGAGGCAUCAGUAUGUAAAUCACAUCAUUCUUCGAGGAUUCGGAAAACAAUUAAUAUUAAAAUAAGGUAAAUCACUUUUCAGUAGAAAAUAUCAAAUUAAAAGACUUUGCCUCACACUCUUGUGUUAUUGGCUCGGGCUAUACUCAUAAGCCAAAAUGUUUUGCUCUCGCUCACCCACCUAAAUUAAAAGUAAUUUUUGGAAAUUGAUAAAUCAUAAUUAAUCCUAAAGCGAUCUCGUUGUGUUUAUGAUUAAUGCCUAGAAGCCACUAUCUGGUUAAAAUCUCAAACUCUCGUUCUGUUGAUUUAUAACCUUAUUGACUUUUCACUCUCGUGCAAAAACCUCUUUAAAUUAGAAUUGGAAACCAGAGCUAGAAAAAUAACUCAUAAAAAUUAUCAUUCAUUAUUACCGAAUCUCGUCAGAACGACAGUCCUUACAUACCGAUAUCGAAUGUUUUAGCCGGACAUGGUUUUAAACUUAAUCAUCCACAUACAAUCCUUAAACAUAAACAUAAUAAAAAUUCAGAAUUGCAAAUUAAAGCGGAAAGUAAAGAGUUCAGCAAUUAAAAGAAACCUGAUGAAUAAUAAUAAUUGGAUUAAACUUCGGAGGAUUCUUCGAGUACAAAUAACAAUUGGAAAACUACAACUAUGUCGGCACGCUUGAUCCAAGCAACUUGUAAAUGUAAAAGCAAAGGUGCAAUAGCUUCCCGAUGUGGAAGAACUAUCACUUUUAGAGUGUUUCUACUUAAAACUAAGAAUCAAAUUACACGAUGAAAACUUGGAUGCAUUUUUAUUCUAAUUUAGCCUUUUUUAUAUUGGUGAAGUAGGGCUGAACUUCCCUAAAUUCGUGUGGAAGUGGUGGAGAGGAAAUAGGGAGGGUUCUUGACCAUGUUUUAUGCAGUUCCUGAAAAACAGCACUGCGUGUCUGUGGCGAACGCCACAAGGCCAUGGCGAACACCAUGGUACUUAAACUCUGAAGUGAUGUGGCAAGGGGCGUGGCGAACGGAUCAGUCUCCAAUUCUACUUGUUUUCUGACACUCACUCUACACCUUUUCACGAAGUCGGUAACACAUUAGUCUACCUGUUUUAUCGUUCUGUUUAGUAAAUUAGAUGUUUUGCAUUGUUAUUUCAAGUUGUUGAUUAUAUUUGGUUUGCAUCAUUAUACUCCAUUUUUACCUUUUCACGAAGUCGGUAACACAUUAGUCUACCUGUUUUAUCGUUCUGUUUAGUAAAUUAGAUGUUUUGCAUUGUUAUUUCAAGUUGUUGAUUAUAUUUGGUUUGCAUCAUUAUACUCCAUUUUACAUCUCUUUGUGGUAGUUUUACUAGUUUCAGGUGUAAGCAAGAACACCAGAGGGAUAUCCAAGCGAAUUGGACAUUUCGGGCCCAUCGGAAGAGGAAAUUAGAUAACACAGUAGUCCUGACACGGCCACCCAUGUUUCCCAACACAGCCCGUGUCAGGAGGUGAAAGCCAUAAGAAGAAAACAGGGAGCUGGCACGGGUGCCCGCGUCAGCCUCCCUAGAGGGGCAUGUCAAGGCCAAUAUACCAGACAACCAACACGGUCUGACAUGGCUAGUGUUGGCUUGGACACCUCAUUUUCUAGUUUUUGCUAUAUUUUGGCACGGCUGAUCCCGAGAGGCAUUAUGGACUUUUGCUACAUCAAAUUAGUGAUCAGGAACUAUUUAGGGGAUUUUUUGAAUAUGGAGAAGGGGACUUUUGACGAUUACUGAUUGGAGACGAUAAAGAUUGAAGCGGUCAAAAACGACGAAGAACGAAGAUUCUUCAAGAGCGGAUGCAAUUGAAGAUCAAUGAAAUUCCCAUACUUUUGUAAUGUCUCGUUUUUAUGUAUCUUAUUUGAAUAAUAUGAGAGGUUAAACCCCCCCAAUGCCCGAGGGGGGGGGGGUGGGUUCCUUGAACUGAUCGUGUAAUGACUCGAAAGUUAUAAUUUCCUUAAUAUAUGAUGUUUGUUGUUAAUUUCACUAUGCAAUUUUGGGGGGGUGGGUUCCUUGAACUGAUCGUGUAAUGACUCGAAAGUUAUAAUUUCCUUAAUAUAUGAUGUUUGUUGUUAAUUUCACUAUGCAAUUUGCAUAAUGUUUUCUUUAUCAGAAAAAUCAAGAUUGUUGUAUGGUUAACAAUUAGCAGGAUUGCAAUUGUUAAGGUUUUUAUACAGUGAAGCCAUAGUAGAUAUCACCUAGGACUAGGGAUACCCUAUGGAUACCGGUUUAUUCUUGUUAAAUUGGAAUUACUUGGUUUCAUAAUAAUCGCCUAAUGACUUAGAGAUUAGAUUGAAUGACCAAAGGUUUCCCUCUGAGGUCUUAGGGGGAAACACUCUUAAGAUCCGGUAAUUGGAACAAUUUUCAUUAUUAAGGAGAUAUACACUCAAGGGUCAUUACAGGAGAUUUUUAUACACCAUCCUUGGCAUAUUAUUAUAAACUGUGAAAAGAUUUAUCCUAUUUUACUUUCUCUUACAGUGAAUUUUUUACAAAACCCCAACUAUUAGUUUUGUUCAAUUGAGUAACAAUUUACACGUAUAUUGUUGCGCAAUCCUCGAGGUCGAUCUUUGGGAAACAUCUAUAUUAUUACUACAUCGGCAAAAUAGUACACUUGCUAUUUUCCUGAUCAAGUUUUUGGCGC